UACUGGGCGUAAAGCGUGCGCAGGCGGUUAUGCAAGACAGAGGUGAAAUCCCCGGGCUCAACCUGGGAACUGCCUUUGUGACUGCAUGGCUAGAGUACGGUAGAGGGGGAUGGAAUUCCGCGUGUAGCAGUGAAAUGCGUAGAUAUGCGGAGGAACACCGAUGGCGAAGGCAAUCCCCUGGACCUGUACUGACGCUCAUGCACGAAAGCGUGGGGAGCAAACAGGAUUAGAUACCCUGGUAGUCAAGGGCG
rnacentral:rRNA from 1 species